GACAGAGGGGGCAAGCGUUGCUCGGAAUUACUGGGCGUAAAGCGCACGUAGGCGGGUCGUUAAGUCAGGGGUGAAAUCCCGGGGCUCAACCCCGGAACUGCCUUUGAUACUGGCAUUCUCGAGUCCGGAAGAGGUGAGUGGAAUUCCGAGUGUAGAGGUGAAAUUCGUAGAUAUUCGGAGGAACACCAGUGGCGAAGGCGGCUCACUGGUCCGGUACUGACGCUGAGGUGCGAAAGCGUGGGGAGCAAACAGG
rnacentral:rRNA from 1 species